GAAGGAAGGGAGGAAAGAAGGAACAGAGGGAGGGAGAAAGGAAAAAAGGAAGGAAAGAAAGACAGAGGAAAGAAGGAAGGGAGGAAGAAGGAAGGAAGGG